rnacentral:rRNA from 1 species
AUGCAAGUCGAACGGUGAAGCCCAGCUUGCUGGGUGGAUCAGUGGCGAACGGGUGAGUAACACGUGAGCAACCUGCCCUCCACUUCGGGAUAAGCCUUGGAAACGGGGUCUAAUACCGGAUAUGAGCAUCUGCCGCAUGGUGGGUGUUGGAAAGUUUUUCGGUGGGGGAUGGGCUCGCGGCCUAUCAGCUUGUUGGUGGGGUGAUGGCCUACCAAGGCGUCGACGGGUAGCCGGCCUGAGAGGGCGACCGGCCACACUGGGACUGAGACACGGCCCAGACUCCUACGGGAGGCAGCAGUGGGGAAUAUUGCACAAUGGGCGAAAGCCUGAUGCAGCGACGCCGCGUGAGGGAUGACGGCCUUCGGGUUGUAAACCUCUUUCAGCAGGGAAGAAGGCCUUCGGGUGGACGGUACCUGCAGAAGAAGCGCCGGCUAACUACGUGCCAGCAGCCGCGGUAAUACGUAGGGCGCAAGCGUUGUCCGGAAUUAUUGGGCGUAAAGAGCUCGUAGGCGGUCUGUCGCGUCUGGUGUGAAAACCCGAGGCUCAACCUCGGGCUUGCAUCGGGUACGGGCAGACUAGAGUGCGGUAGGGGAGACUGGAAUUCCUGGUGUAGCGGUGGAAUGCGCAGAUAUCAGGAGGAACACCGAUGGCGAAGGCAGGUCUCUGGGCCGCAACUGACGCUGAGGAGCGAAAGCAUGGGGAGCGAACAGGAUUAGAUACCCUGGUAGUCCAUGCCGUAAACGUUGGGCACUAGGUGUGGGGCUCAUUCCACGAGUUCCGUGCCGCAGCUAACGCAUUAAGUGCCCCGCCUGGGGAGUACGGCCGCAAGGCUAAAACUCAAAGGAAUUGACUGGGGGCCCGCACAAGCGGCCGGAGCAUGCGGAAUUAAUUUCGAUGCAACGCGAAGAACCUUACCAAGGCUUGACAUUGCACCGGGACGCUUGCCAAAAAAUGGUGGGUUCCGCCAAGGUCUGUUGCACAAGUCGUUGCAUGGGUCGUCGUCCAGCUCCGUGUCGUGGAGAUGUUGGGUUUAAGUCCCCGCAACGAAGCGCAACCCUCGUCCCAUGUUUGCCAAGCGGGGUUAUUGCCCGGGGACUCAUGGGAGACUGCGGGGU